rnacentral:rRNA from 1 species
GGACCUGGCGGGUGCUUACACACGCAGUUGAACGAGAACGGGUCUUAGCUUGCUAAGACUGUCAGCUAAGUGGCGCACGGGUGAGUAAUGUAUAGAUAACGUGCCUCUUACAAGGGAAUAACAGUUGGAAACGACUGCUAAUGCCCUAUAUGCCUUUAGAACAAAAGUUCGCAAGGGAAAGUUUUUUCGGUAAGAGAUCGGUCUGUAUGGUAUCAGCUAGUUGGUGAGGUAAUGGCUCACCAAGGCAAUGACGCCUAACUGGUUUGAGAGGAUGAUCAGUCACACUGGAACUGAGACACGGUCCAGACUCCUACGGGAGGCAGCAGUGGGGAAUAUUGCACAAUGGGCGAAAGCCUGAUGCAGCAACGCCGCGUGGAGGAUGACACAUUUCGGUGCGUAAACUCCUUUUAUAUAUGAAGAUAAUGACGGUAAUAUAUGAAUAAGCGCCGGCUAACUCCGUGCCAGCAGCCGCGGUAAUACGGAGGGCGCAAGCGUUACUCGGAAUCACUGGGCGUAAAGAGCGUGUAGGCGGGUAAUUAGUUUGAAGUGAAAUCCUGUGGCUCAACCAUAGAACUGCUUUGAAAAACUGGUUAUCUUAGAAUCUGGGAGAGGUAGAUGGAACUUCUGGUGUAGCGGUGAAAUCCGUAAAAUCAAAGGGAUACGAUGUGAAGGGAACUAUGGACUUUUUGAGCUGAAACGAAAACGUGG